rnacentral:rRNA from 1 species
GAGUCUAGCAUGUGCGCGAGUCAUUUGGACUUUUUAUGAAUAAACCUAAAGGCGUAAUGAAAGUGAAAGUUUUUUACACAUUAAAAACUAAGGGAGGAUGGGUUUUGUUUUACGGAACGGCCUCGCACUCCCGCGGCGUCUCGUUCUCAUUGCGAGAAGAGGCGCACGCAGAGCGUACACGCUGGGACCCGAAAGAUGGUGAACUAUGCCUGGUCAGGACGAAGUCAGGGGAAACCCUGAUGGAGGUCCGUAGCGAUUCUGACGUGCAAAUCGAUCGUCGGAACUGGGUAUAGGGGCGAAAGACUAAUCGAACCAUCUAGUAGCUGGUUCCCUCCGAAGUUUCCCUCAGGAUAGCUGGCGCUCGCUAUAUGCGAGUCUCAUUCGGUAAAGCGAAUGAUUAGAGGCAUUGGGGUCGAAACGGCCUCAACCUAUUCUCAAACUUUAAAUGGGUGAGAACUCCGGCUUGCUUAAAUUAUGAAGCCGCGAGUUAUCGGAUCAGAGUGCCAAGUGGGCCACUUUUGGUAAGCAGAACUGGCGCUGUGGGAUGAACCAAACGCAGAGUUAAAGCGCCUAAAUCGACGCUUAUGGGAUACCAUGAAAGGCGUUGGUAACUUAAGACAGCAGGACGGUGGCCAUGGAAGUCGGA